rnacentral:piRNA from 1 species
UGCCAAUUACUGUGAUGGAGAAUGCUC